rnacentral:rRNA from 1 species
GUAGGGAAUCUUGCGCAAUGGGCGAAAGCCUGACGCAGCCAUGCCGCGUGAAUGAUGAAGGUCUUAGGAUUGUAAAAUUCUUUCACCGGGGACGAUAAUGACGGUACCCGGAGAAGAAGCCCCGGCUAACUUCGUGCCAGCAGCCGCGGUAAUACGAAGGGGGCUAGCGUUGCUCGGAAUUACUGGGCGUAAAGGGAGCGUAGGCGGAUAGUUUAGUCAGAGGUGAAAGCCCAGGGCUCAACCUUGGAAUUGCCUUUGAUACUGGCUAUCUUGAGCAUGGAAGAGCUAUGUGGAACUCCGAGUGUAGAGGUGAAAUUCGUAGAUAUUCGGAAGAACACCAGUGGCGAAGGCGACAUACUGGUCCAUUACUGACGCUGAGGCUCGAAAGCGUGGGGAGCAAACAGGAUUAGAUACCCGGGUAGUCC